GAGGACGGUCAUAGCAUUUGGGGUUCACCUGGUCUCAUUCCGAACCCAGAAGUUAAGCCCAAGUGCGAAUGGUCGUGUACUAUGGUGCGCGAGCCCAUGGGAAAGGUCAUUACUGUCCACC
rnacentral:rRNA from 1 species